rnacentral:rRNA from 1 species
AAUCUGUCUCCCUCGUGCCGCCGCCUCGCUAGGGUUCGGCUCCACCGUCGCCGCCGCCGCGCACCGCGACCGCCUGCCGUCACCGCGCACCGCGACCGCCUGCCGCCGAGCGCCUCGACCGCCUGCCGCCGCGCACCUCGACCGCCUGCCGCCGCCGCCACCACCGCCAUCCCGGCGCUUCCCACCUUCGUCCUUUUCCACGAUGCUCCGUCUCCGGCCGUCUGCCCUGACUCCCAGGCAGCCAUAGUCCGAGCUCAUCUACCCUGAUUCCCUGACAUCGACCCCCGAGCUUCUUUCCCGUCAAUUCCCGGGCCUAGGCCAUUCUCCGCCUUCCACGAUCCAUAUCUUCAUCGGCGCCCUUUCACUCUUCCGUCAUGGCAAUGCAAGACCAUCCUUCUCCGUGUGGUCGCCACCCCCAAAUCCUGCUGGAUAGAAAUUGUUUAGUGGGCCAGUUGGAAAAUUCCACUACCGCAAAAACCAAGAAUAGCAAAGGGCAUCACUUGGAGCUUUCUUUUAAAGCAGUUGACCCUCCAGCUAUCUCGUUGUGCCUCGUCAGCUGCGUUGAUCAGACAGGGGAGCUCUUGCCAGUAGAUCCUCGUAUACUUGGUGAGUCUGGAGGGUCUGUACUGCUGGCUUUCACUUUCUUCGGGAGUGUCCACCAUUUACCAUUCACCGACUAUUUCGUUUACAAAGCAGGGCCAAAUUUUCCCUGUCUUCAUCUUAUUCCAAGGCCAUAUCCAUCUUCUUUUGAGGCAAAUUUGGUUGCUAUCCUGCCUGUUAAUGAUAACAGUGAAGACUUUGCUGUCGUUUUUCCUCAUGUUGAAUAUUUCGGGCUCGAGUCUCGCAAACAUUACACACUCCACAUUUAUCGAUCUGAUGCAAAUGAUUGGCACACUCAGGUGGCUCAUAUCGCCGAGGAUAAUGAAACAAGGAUAGCUAAGCGUAAGCUAUUGCUUCAUGAUGCCAUGAGCGUGGCAUAUGCAGAAAAUGGUAUCAUAGGUUGGAUUGAUCUUUGGUGGGGAAUUCUCUUAUGCAAUGUCUUGGAUAAAAAGCCUAUCAUCCGUUUUGUUCCAUUGCCAGUACCUGAACCAUGUGAUGCUUCUGAAUUCCAUUUGACGUUUGAGAAUCUAACCCCAAGACCACACCGUCAUGUGACGAUAUUCAAUGAUUUGAUCAAGUUUGUUGAGUUAGAUUUUCAUGUGCAAGAUGCUUUCUGCAACAUGAAGCGAGGAAAAGAUUAUGGUUGGAUGGCUAGGACCUGGAGUAGAUCGAUUUAUUCAGAUAUUUGGCAUGAUGGUCUGACGUUUGAUACAUCUGAGUUAUCUUUCAGUGAUUCAAGUUUGCCGAAUCUUUUACCUGAGAUGUUUGAUGACAAAAACAGUUUGACAUGGGGGAAUUUGACCAGUGCUGGGCCUACAUUAAGCUUGCACGAUGACAAUGUUAUUUACAUUAUGGCGAAGGAGAGCAUGUGCCACCGGACAGCAUAUGUACUUGCUGUGAAUGGUAAAAGUUUGAAGCUUGAGUCUUGUGCGCCUUGCUCUGCUGAAAACAUGUUGUGGUUUGAACCAACCUAUGAUCCGUGUGUUCUUUUUAGGUCUUUUGGCACAACUUCAGAGUCGGUUAAAGAAUUUGAAACCAAAGGGACAAUAUCUGAAACCAAGGAAGGGCUGGCUCUCUCAGUGGUGUCGAAGCGUCUUCGCGUGCUGCGGAAGAAGCAGGAUCGCAUUGCGCAGAUGGAGGAGUCGGUCGCCGCCGGCAAGGUGCUUAACCAGGACCAGAAGGAGGUGAUGCAUUCAAAGCCCACCAUCGCCGCGCUCAUUGACGAGCUCGAGCGCCUCCGCGUGCCACUCUCCACUGCCCUCACCAAAGAGCUCUCCACCGUCCCUGCACCUGCUGCCGGUUCCUCAUCCUUUGGCUCCGAUUUGUCCAUCCAAGACCUCCUCGCGCUUGUCUACUUUGGCUCCCUUUUUUAUGUCAAGUCACCAGACGAGUUCAUCACCACCAUGGUUGCACGCAAGCACGAGCGGAGCAGCUGCAUCACCUACGGCUAUGUAUGGGAUGAUACCGUGGACCUGCUUACGGAGAACGACCUUGAUGCAGUGUCUGCUGUGGCGGCCCUUGCCACGGCUCGCCCUGCUUCUGCGGUUGGCGUCUCCCACCAUGACGCACUCCAGGCCUGUGCCCAUCAUGCCCGCCUAUGGCUCACCCGUGCUGAUGUGCCGAUCCACCCUGGCUCCUCUGUUACAUGUGAUGGUUGAUAUAGGUCUGUAAUUUGGUUUGUUCUGAGCUCAUUGCUGAUUGAAAUCUGCGGCUUUUCGCUGUAGAUGCUGCGGUGAGGUCCAAGUUAGACAGGAUCAUGGCAUCGGACUACUACACGGCGCACCAUGCAUCUGAAAGUGUGCAGGCACUGAUGAGCAUGACUGUCUCACCAGAGGCACCAUCACUUAAGGAGAACAUAGCUGCUGAAGGUCACAAGGAGGAGGAGGAAGACUCCUCGCAUGCCACAGAAAUCUACAAUGGUCAUCAGUCUAAUGCAGCCGAUGUGCAAAAUAUGGAAGGUAAAUCCCCGGUGAACCCUCAUGAGGAAUAUCCCUUGGCUGAGGCAGAGCAGGAGAAGUUUGAUGUGGAAGAACAAGAUCAGAGGUAUGCCGAGCCAAAAGAGCGACAGUUUCAGCGCCCUCGGCGAUCUUUUCAGAACCAGCGAGGUGGUGAUCGUGGCAGGAGGGGGGCUUACCCUAAUGGCCAUGGCAGGCAUGGAGGCGGCCGUGGCAUGGGCAGCGCAUACCAGAAUGGGCGUGGAGGAGGUGGUGGUGGUGGAUACCAAGGAGGCGGUGGUGAGUACCAGAAUGGCUGGGGUGGCGGGGGCGGGGGCGGGUACUACAACAACAACGAUGAUGGGUACUACCAGCCUAGUAACUUCAACAACAGGGGCAGGGGCGCAGGGAGGUGGCCACGCAAACACCGAGAGGGUUGA